ACAAAAACGCAGAAGAGGAGCAGUAAGAGUCUCUCAGCUUUCAGAGAGCUGCCGGCAGGUGAAAGGCAGCAGUGAAGAACUCCCAACUCGCCUCAGAGUUCUCUGGCUGAACGCAUACUUUCAGUAGGUCAGAGCGGGAACUUCCCGUUACAGAAGAACGAGUGCAUCCCUCUGGGGAUGAAGUAGAGUGGUACCACGGAAUGUUAACCCUUUCGUCUCUAUG
rnacentral:ncRNA from 1 species